GGUUACUGCUAUCGGUGUUCGCCUAAGCCAUGCGAGUCAUAUGUUCUUCGGAACAUGGCGUACUGCUCAGUAACACGUGGAUAACCUGCCCUUGGGUCCGGCAUAACCCCGGGAAACUGGGGAUAAUUCCGGAUAACGCACAUAUGCUGGAAUGCUUUAUGCGUCAAAUGGAUUCGUCCGCCCAAGGAUGGGUCUGCGGCCUAUCAGGUAGUAGUGGGUGUAAUGUACCUACUAGCCUACGACGGGUACGGGUUGUGAGAGCAAGAGCCCGGAGAUGGAUUCUGAGACAUGAAUCCAGGCCCUACGGGGCGCAGCAGGCGCGAAAACUUUACAAUGCGGGAAACCGUGAUAAGGGGACACCGAGUGCCAGCAUCCUAUGCUGGCUGUCCGGGUGUGUAAAAUACACCUGUUAGCAAGGGCCGGGCAAGACCGGUGCCAGCCGCCGCGGUAACACCGGCGGCCCGAGUGGUGAUCGUGAUUAUUGGGUCUAAAGGGUCCGUAGCCGGUUUGGUCAGUCCUCCGGGAAAUCUGACAGCUCAACUGUUAGGCUUUCGGAGGAUACUGCCAGACUUGGAACCGGGAGAGGUAAGAGGUACUACAGGGGUAGGAGUGAAAUCUUGUAAUCCCUGUGGGACCACCUGUGGCGGAGGCGUCUUACCAGAACGGGUUCGACGGUGAGGGACGAAAGCUGGGGGCACGAACCGGAUUAGAUACCCGGGUAGUCCCAGCCGUAAACGAUGCUCGCUAGGUGUCAGGCAUGGCGCGACCGUGUCUGGUGCCGCAGGGAAGCCGUGAAGCGAGCCACCUGGGAAGUACGGCCGCAAGGCUGAAACUUAA
rnacentral:rRNA from 1 species